CUUUUCGGGGUCGAGUCCGAGGGGGAAGAGGUUUGUUAAUACGUUCGCCAUGUGCUACGAUCUUGGGACGAACUGAGCCACGAGCGUGGCUUUGAGGGCCGUCCGAACGCUGCAGGCCGGCCAGGUCCCUGGGCGUCCAGGCCUGGCCUACGCACCACUUUGUCCCUUAGCGUUUAAAGGUUUCUUCCCGAAUCUCAGGCCCUCAGCUACCUGCAGGUUUCGUCGCGAGCCGGCUGCAAGUUUUGAACCUAAGUAAACCUCAAUCCGGAGGGCCUAGCGGUAAGGUGGGCGCUGUGUCUAUUGAAGUGCUUAGCAAUAAAGAAAGGUAGUGAGUUGAUUCGGUUUUCUCUCAAGUGU